UGAGGAAUUUUGCACAAUGGAGGAAACUCUGAUGCAGCGACGCCGCGUGCGGGAUGAAGGGGCUUUGCCUUGUAAACCCCUUUCGGGUGGGAAAAAAAGUUCCCUCGGGGAACUGGGAUUGUACCACCAAAGGAAGGACCGGCUAACUACGUG
rnacentral:rRNA from 1 species